rnacentral:lncRNA from 1 species
GGAAAUUGGAAGAACUGAUAUUUUGUGGCUUGUGAUUUUGUCCCUUACUGAUAUUCACCCUCAAGUCUCCCACUGUUACUGGAGAUUCUGCAGGAACUAAACUAUAGUGUCUCUAUGAGAACACUGUAACCACAAAGAUAUAUGCAGCAAAGCUGUCAAUACUUACCUGGUGUUGUAUUUAUCCAGAGAGAAGCUGUUUGUUAGUAUUUGGCCCUGACACAGUGAUAUUAUCCAAGAAACUGAAAACUAUGCCUCAGGUGAGGUGCAUCUGUUGACUGAAGGAACAUGUUCCCCCAGUGUUUCUCAGACCAGAUUAUCUUAAAAGGACUAGGUAAGUAGCAGAAAGUUAAAAAUUCCGCAUUUCCUUUGUCUUUUUCCAGGUCAGAA